rnacentral:lncRNA from 1 species
GGGACACAGCAUCGGUUCCUUAUCUGAAGGCAGAAAAGUGAAAGGUGAGAGGAUAAAAAGAAAAAUGAAUAAAGAGCUUAAAGAAAGAUAAUUCAAGGAAAGAAGAAUGGCAGACAGUUAAGAAGAGGAAGACCUGAGCUUUGGAACAUUCUGAACCAUAACAGUUCAGCUGCAACUGCAGCCACAGUUGUGUCAUACAGUGUUCCCAAGACAAAUCUUGCAGAUGCAAGAGGUAGGCCACUUAUUAAGCUUGAUUCAGCCCUUACCACUUUUUUGGAUUAUUCUCUGAGGUCAACUACACUGGUUGUUGGAUAAGCAGUCCAGGAUAAUAUUAGCCAAGGGAAAUGUUACAUUAGAAGUGGUUACACAUAUAUUUUCUACUUAAUGAAUAAACAUAUACCAUUUUCUGAAAAAAUUAUAUAUUCAUCUUUCAGAAAAAAAACCUAUGAUUUAAAAUUAAAAGUUUCAGCCAGGCGCGGUGGCUCACACCUGUAAUCCCAGCGCUUUGGGAGGCUGGGGCGGGCAGAUCAAGAGGUCAGGAGUUUGAGACCAGCCUGGCCAACAUAGUGAAACCCCGUCUGUACUAAAAAUCUAAAAAUUGGCUGGGUGUGGUGGCGGGCACCUGUAGUCCCAGCUACUCGGGAGGCUGAGGCAGGGGAAUCGCUUGAACCUGGGAGGCGGAGCUUGUGGUGAGCCAAGAUCACAC